AAAAAUGGUAUUUGGAACGUUUUAUGCAUUGACAACCCCUGAUUCAAGAUGCUCUGUUGCAGGCUCUACGACAUCGGUUGUCCUCCAACAGAGGCAAUAUGAUGUUUAUGCUUUGGUUUUGAAUGUAACCGAGGCAUAUAGUUAUUUACAAUUUUUUUUUUAAUUUUUUGGAGGGUUUACGCCUCGGUUGCACUUUUGACCGAGGUAGUAAGGCUGUUUUUGCCUCAGCUAAGUGGAGAACUGAGACAAUAACCUAUUUAAAUUUCUGAAAUCGCGAAACAAAAGCACUCUUCCCUGUUUAACUUCUUCUCCCCCGCGAAACAGAACGCCUCUCGCACCACUUUCUCUUUGCUUCCAUCAUGCCGGUGACCACCGUUUACUAUCGUCGUCUCCUCCUUUCCGCGUUGUCAUCACCCCUAACUGCUUUGGUUGUUUCCUCCACCACGUUUAUCCAUCCGUUUGGCAGCAUUGCUUUCAUCUCUGCCACCGGUGCACCAUUGAUCGUUGUCUCCGCCUCUCUGCAUUGUCACUGCUGUUAAGUUCUUUUCGCCGCUUCCUCCACCACCUCUCUGCAUUGUCACCACUUAUUAACGCCUUCUUCUUGGUGUGUGGUAAGUUCUUGAACCC
rnacentral:lncRNA from 1 species